rfam:Gossypium hirsutum cultivar TM-1 chromosome 8, whole genome shotgun sequence
AUUUCGUGAUGAGGGCACUUUCGUAAUAAUUCUUUGUACCUUUCCCAUGCCUCAUACAAGGACUCAUCAUCCAUUUGUUGGAAAGCAGUGAUCACGUUCCUCAACUU